GGCACAGUAGUCUAUUGGUAUGAUUCCUGCUUUGUAAAGUCCUGCUAGCAUAUGCAGAGAGCAGGUGGUCUGGGUUCAAGUCCCAAACAUCCUC